rnacentral:lncRNA from 1 species
CCCUUGUUAAUGUGUUUCUUCUUUUUAGUUCAUUUGCAGGUAAAGUUAACAUCAAAACAUAUAUAAAGGUGUAAAUGCAUUGCCAAGGAGCGAGUGAUGCACGAGCACAAAUUUAAAACACUUCACAUGCUAGAUAGCAUAAGCCGAAAGUCAUCACAUUCUCUAAGUCAUUGAACUUCAUACUAAUGCAUUGAUGAUUGUUAAACGUGCUUAAUUCGCCGUUUCAGAAUCUAAUGCAUCCUGGUUAAUAUUUUCAAAAGCGUACACCAAAGCGUUUUGAUUAGUUUAAAACGUUAUAAACAAUGGAAAUUCAACCAAUGACGUAACGUUAUUUUGACUUUGGGGUACGAACAAUGAAAUUACCCAUGAUGCUUUAGAUUCUGAAACGGCCAAU